GACGAACGCUGGCGGCGUGCUUAACACAUGCAAGUCGAACGGAAAGGCCCUGCUUUUGUGGGGUGCUCGAGUGGCGAACGGGUGAGUAACACGUGAGUAACCUGCCCUUGACUUUGGGAUAACUUCAGGAAACUGGGGCUAAUACCGGAUAGGAGCUCCUGCUGCAUGGUGGGGGUUGGAAAGUUUCGGCGGUUGGGGAUGGACUCGCGGCUUAUCAGCUUGUUGGUGGGGUAGUGGCUUACCAAGGCUUUGACGGGUAGCCGGCCUGAGAGGGUGACCGGCCACAUUGGGACUGAGAUACGGCCCAGACUACUACGGGAGGCAGCAGUGGGGAAUAAUGCACAAUGGGCGGAAGCCUGAUGCAGCAACGCCGAGUGCGGGAUGACGGCCUUCGGGUUGUAAACCGCUUUCGCCUGUGACGAAGCGUGAGUGACGGUAAUGGGUAAAGAAGCACCGGCUAACUACGUG
rnacentral:rRNA from 1 species